AGUUUUUAUAAUUUAAAUUAAAAUACUGGUCUUGUAAACCAGAAAUAUGAAUUAUUCAUUUAAAAC
rnacentral:tRNA from 1 species